rnacentral:tRNA from 1 species
GCCCCCAUCGUCUAGAGGCCCAGGACAUCACCCUUUCAAGGUGGAGACAGGGUUCAGAAUCCCCUUGGGGGUA